GGGCCCGCACAAGCGGUGGAGCAUGUGGUUUAAUUCGAUGAUACGCGAGGAACCUUACCAAGGCUUAAAUGUAGGGCGACGUACCCGGAAACGGGUAUUUCUUCGGACGACCUACAAGGUGCUGCAUGGUUGUCGUCAGCUCGUGCCGUGAGGUGUCGGGUUAAGUCCCAUAACGAGCGCAACCCCUACCUUUAGUUGCCAUCGGGUAAAGCCGGGGACUCUAGCAAGACUGCCGGUGCAAACCGUGAGGAAGGUGGGGAUGACGUCAAAUCAUCACGGCCCUUACGUCCUGGGCCACACACGUGCUACAAUGGUAGGUACAGAGAGCAGCCACGUCGCAAGGCGGAGCGAAUCUAUAAAACCUAUCACAGUUCGGAUCGGGGUCUGCAACUCGACCCCGUGAAGCUGGAAUCGCUAGUAAUCGCAUAUC
rnacentral:rRNA from 1 species